rnacentral:rRNA from 1 species
UACGAAGGGGGCUAGCGUUGCUCGGAAUCACUGGGCGUAAAGCGCACGUAGGCGGCUUUUUAAGUCAGGGGUGAAAUCCUGGAGCUCAACUCCAGAACUGCCUUUGAUACUGGAAAGCUUGAGUUCGGGAGAGGUGAGUGGAACUGCGAGUGUAGAGGUGAAAUUCGUAGAUAUUCGCAAGAACACCAGUGGCGAAGGCGGCUCACUGGCCCGAUACUGACGCUGAGGUGCGAAAGCGUGGGGAGCAAACAGG